rnacentral:lncRNA from 1 species
CAUCCACCUCAACGAAUGUACCGGUACAUAUCCACAUAAUAUGUGUACCAAAGCAUUCACCAAACAGUAAACUUAAGUGGUUAAUGAGCCCCCCUAAACAAAUUAUUUACAAGAACUCAAAUUCAAUUUUGUGAAACAAUUUUUAGCCAGAUUUUAUUUACCUCGCGACCGAAUUCUAAAUUACCGGAGCUGAUUCCUCAUAGAACUAGAGGUGGUUAAUACACAAAAAGAACAAAGAUAGCAUAGUUCCUAAUUAUCUAACUGGUUAUCUAAUCCAUCAUUCCCAAUACAAUGUAGCUUUUUUAUCCUUCUCCUUUGAUAUCAAAUGCCUCUCCUCUUCCUUUGUAUCACCAACUCUCUUCAAAUUCAUUUUGAUCCCCAUAUAUUCUUGAUAGAUUUUCCUACCAUACUUCCAUGAACUAUCGAUAGUGCCCAAUGUGAUUGGUUGCAUAUCUAAUAUUAAAAAAAAUACCCAAUAGCAAAAGUGAACUAGAAAAAACACACAUAAAAUGUAGACACAAAAUAAGAAAUGAAUUAUAUAUGCAUAUAUUUUCUAAGGAGUACUAACAAUCAUUCAACAAGAAUUGAAUAAUUUAAGAAUAAUUCUACCUUCAUGAAUCACAGUGAUAUAUAAUAUGUUCCCAAUGUUUCCCAACCAUCCUAAUUCUUUAUUCCUUUUGCAGGAAAUCAUAUCCACUACAUCCAUCUACUGUGAACAUGGUUUUGGUUGUGUUAGAAACAUGGAGUGAAAUCAAGGCUGGACGACGGUAUUAAUGUAGAUGCUAUAUUUGCUAGAACAUGUUUGGAUUUUAACCGCGUGUUUUGUGUCAUACUGUACAUAGAAGCUAAUGUUACUCGCAAACUCUGGAUACCUAUUAAAGUAAUUAUUAUUAUGACUCUUCUUCUUUACCUUUUGUUUUUGACAAACUCUUCUUUUUGAACAAAAUGACAAACUCUUCUUCUUUACUUAGUCGAUGGAAACUCCGUCCACAAGUUACCAAUUGCAUUUUCUUUUUACACGUUAUUCUUAUUUNNNNNNNNNNNNNNNNNNNNNNNNNNNNCCUGAGUGAUAAAGACAAAUUGGAGUUGAGAUUAAAUGAAGGGAAAAUUACACUCAUUUACAGAUUUAUGUUAGUAUAACAUACCCUUUAUUUUCUGAUGCAUCACAAACCUCCCUUAUUUGUUUGAUGAAUGACUUAUAAGCACCUAUUUGCUAAACGUCUGUUUAUUCGGUCUCAUUCUAUUGUGUAUUAAGCAGCUAUCUCUCGACAAAUUGGCUCGAAGGAAACGCUAGGUAGCUGUAUAUCCUUUUAUGGCUUGAAGCAGUUGGCAUAGUGCGCCAGAAUUAUAGCAAGAAACUGUAUUACUCAACAGAGCAUUGAAACAUAGAAAAAUACUGUAUUACUCAACAGAAUUAUACAUAAGUUUACGAUAUGACUCUUUUAUGAUGGUUGGAGAAACCAACAACAAAUGUCAAAACAUUACCUCAUUGAAUUGAAUAUGAUCACUCAGCCGUUGAACAUUAACCGAUCAUAUCUCAAUCAAACGAUUUUAAUCAUAUUGACUGCAUACAUACAGUCAUGGAAAUAUACAUGUUUGUAAUAUGUUAAAACUAAGCCGAUUAUUGGAUUCAUAGAG